rnacentral:lncRNA from 1 species
CACAUAAAAUAUAGGGUCUUUCCGCGAUUUAUCCGUUUAGCCGCUUUGACCCCUCAGCGAACAUUUGCAAUAUCCGGCAAUCCGUUCAUCGGAUUUCCGAACGGAUCGCACCAUCGCGUUCAGCACAACGAGGGCAUCCAAACUACCAUCUUGUUUCGUCAGAUUUGGUCACGGAUUCGCGACGGAACCCAUCCGCUCUCUAAUUAAUCCGUAUAUCGCACAUAUACCCAAGCAUAAACUCUAAAACCUUUAAUUCAAAUUCAAAUUUGAAUUCCCUACCACCAGUAGGUAUCAGAAACAACUCUCACCUAACCCCAGGUCACAAGCACAGAGCACGCGGAGCUUUAAAACGCACGAAUAGCAAAGAGCGGGAACCCUCUUUUUGAUAAAAUUCCUUUUUCUCGAUAACCGUGCAUCAGAAUCCGAUUCUGUCAGCGCCAAUGGUUCCAGUAUAGUCGAGAGGUUCGAAACGAG